rnacentral:rRNA from 1 species
UACAGAGGGGGCAAGCGUUGUUCGGAAUUACUGGGCGUAAAGGGCGCGUAGGCGGCCUGUUAAGUCGAACGUGAAAUCCCCGGGCUCAACCCGGGAACUGCGUCCGAUACUGGCAGGCUUGAAUCUGGGAGAGGGAUGCGGAAUUCCAGGUGUAGCGGUGAAAUGCGUAGAUAUCUGGAGGAACACCGGUGGCGAAGGCGGCAUCCUGGACCGGUAUUGACGCUGAUGCGCGAAAGCCAGGGGAGCAAACGGG